rnacentral:rRNA from 1 species
CGCGCGUAGGCGGUUUUUUAAGUCUGAUGUGAAAGCCCACGGCUCAACCGUGGAGGGUCAUUGGAAACUGGAAAACUUGAGUGCAGAAGAGGAAAGUGGAAUUCCAUGUGUAGCGGUGAAAUGCGCAGAGAUAUGGAGGAACACCAGUGGCGAAGGCGACUUUCUGGUCUGUAACUGACGCUGAUGUGCGAAAGCGUGGGGAUCAAACAGGAUUAGAUA